rnacentral:rRNA from 1 species
AUUGAACGCUGGCGGCAUGCCUUACACAUGCAAGUCGAACGGCAGCACGGGGGCAACCCUGGUGGCGAGUGGCGAACGGGUGAGUAAUACAUCGGAACGUGCCCAGUAGUGGGGGAUAGCCCGGCGAAAGCCGGAUUAAUACCGCAUACGACCUACGGGUGAAAGCGGGGGAUCGCAAGACCUCGUGCUACCGGAGCGGCCGAUGUCAGAUUAGGUUGUUGGUGGGGUAAAAGCCUACCAAGCCGACGAUCUGUAGCUGGUCUGAGAGGACGACCAGCCACACUGGGACUGAGACACGGCCCAGACUCCUACGGGAGGCAGCAGUGGGGAAUUUUGGACAAUGGCGCAAGCCUGAUCCAGCCAUGCCGCGUGCGGGAAGAAGGCCUGGUGUAACG